CUGCAGGUUUCCUACCUGCGGCAUAAAAAGGGACACACGCAGCACUGAGGAGGAAGGGGAAUGAAUGAGCUCCUCAAAUAAAUAAAGUGGCUGUGAGCGUGAGGAUCUGCGGCAAACUGUGCAGGACUGCUUCAUCUACAGAAAUCCAGGUAGCAGCCGAUCCCAUAUCUGAACCCAAACACCAGGAUUUAGUCGCCCACUGAGAACCACAACAACCUUCUGACUGAUUUAGAGGCUGAUACCGGAUCAGUCUAUCUGCUGGGUGUGGAUCCGUCUAUCUGCUGGAUGUUAGUCGUGGAUCAGUCUAUAUCCUGGAGUGAUGUUGGCAACUAAAACCAGAGUGGGGGAUGUUGUUCACGGUGGAGGAGGUCCUGCAGGACAGAAAAACACUCUCAGGUUUCCAUCUGCAACACAAACUGUGAAAAUGGCACCGGCUGAGCGUCGUCUGGAGAAUGGGCUGUUUUCUCACCCGGUGGCUCCUCUAGAAGCUGCUGAUGGAGGUCAGGAGAUCAGGAAGCUGACAGAGCAGCAGACCGGUGCUUAGAGUCCACCAUGUGUAGGUGGAAGUUUUUACCGUAUAUACUGUCCUGAUCCAUGCUGUCAGCUGAUCGGAUACAAAGAAAGGAGAGCUGCUGUUAAAAUCAGAAACCUGUAGAUCAGGACGACGACCUGUGGAAACCUGAAACACUGAAUCGCAGGAGCUUCUGACAAAAUCUCUCUUUAUUAAUGGAAUUUAAACAAAAAAAUUAUUAUAGUGUUCUUGUUCCAGUUUUAUAAUCAAAUAAAUCAGAAAAAUAGAAGAAAA